ACAUCUCUAGUCACCUCAGAUAAACAACUGUCCCAUAUUUUUUCCAGGACUGUCCCAGUUUUAACACUGCUCACGGGAUCCAGUGUUCCUGACCUCAUCGUGAGCAUGAGCAACCAGAUGUGGCUACAUCUGCAGUCGGAUGAUAGCAUUGGCUCACCUGGGUUUAAAGCUGUUUACCAAG
rnacentral:sRNA from 1 species